AUCAUUACCGGGAAGCGUGCCCGGGGAGGAACCGUUCCCCCCGGGCCUCAGGGCGCCUGCUGGGGCCCUGAACUCUCACCUUGUGCUGUCGUACCUGACGUUGCUUCGGCGGCAUGGGCCCCUUUCUUCGGGGAGGGUUCCCUCGCCGGAGGGCCUCUAAAAUCUGAUUUUCUAGGUGAUGUCCGAGGGCGAAAAACGAAAUCGUGAAAAACUUUCAACAACGGAUCUCUUGGUUCCGGCAUCGAUGAAGAACGCAGCGAAAUGCGAUAAGUAAUGCGAAUUGCAGAAUUCAGUGAAUCAUCGAAUCUUUGAACGCACAUUGCGCCCCCUGGCACUCCGGGGGGCAUGCCCGUUCGAGCGUCAUUGACCCUCUCAAGCCUUAGGCUUGGUGCUGGGCCUCGUCCCUCCCGUCACGGGGGCGACGGGCCUGAAGACGAGUGGCGGCCCCGGGACGACCCCUGGCGCGAUGAUAAUCUCUCGCCGUGGGGCUUUGCCCCGGGUGCCUACCAGUUAACCACGCCCUUGGGGGGAGGAUCGGAAUACAUCUGGAUUUUCGAAACAUGAUAAUUCAGAUACCCCCCCUCGUGGAAGCACACGGUUGACCUCGAAUCGGGUAGGGAUACCCGCUGAACUUAAGCAUAUCAAUAAGCGGAGGACAAGAAACCAACCGGGAUUGCCUCAGUAACGGCGAGUGAAGCGGCAGCAGCUCAAAUUUGAAAUCUGGUUCCUCCCCGGGGGCCCGAGUUGUAAUUUGGAGAGGGUGCUUCAGGGGGCGCGUCGCCGGCCCAAGUGCCUUGGAACAGGACGCCUGGGAGGGUGAGAGCCCCGUACGUGGCCGGUGGCCGUUCCCGCACGAAGCCCUUUCGACGAGUCGAGUUGUUUGGGAAUGCAGCUCUAAGCGGGUGGUAAAUUCCAUCUAAAGCUAAAUACCGGCCGGAGACCGAUAGCGCACAAGUAGAGUGAUCGAAAGAUGAAAAGCACUUUGGAAAGAGAGUCAAACAGCACGUGAAAUUGUUGAGAGGGAAGCGCUUGCCCCCAGACCUGCCCGCGGGCGAUCACCCGUGGCCCUCGUGGCCCCGGGGCACUCGCCCGCGUCCAGGCCAGCACGGGUUCGGGCAGCGGGAGAAAGCGCCCGGGAACGUAGCUCCCUCCGGGGAGCCUUAUAGCCCGGGCGGUCAUGCCGCUCGCCCGGACCGAGGACCGCGCUUCGGCUAGGGUGCUGGCGUAAUGGGGGUCAGCGGCCCGUCUUGAAACACGGACCAAGGAGUCUAACGUCCCCGCGAGUGUUCGGGCGUCAAACCCCCGGCGCGGAAUGAAAGUGAACGGAGGUGGGAGCCCUUUCGGGGGCGCACCAUCGACCGAUCCUGAUGUCUUCGGAUGGAUUUGAGUAGGAGCGCGGCCGUUGGGACCCGAAAGAUGGUGAACUAUGCCUGGGUAGGGUGAAGCCAGAGGAAACUCUGGUGGAGGCUCGCAGCGGUUCUGACGUGCAAAUCGAUCGUCGAA
rnacentral:rRNA from 1 species